UCCCAGAGAGUGAGGCUUCCUGUCCCACCCCCAACACAGACUUCUCACAACUCACAGAAGCAACUACAACUAUGGAGACAUUCGUGUUCACAAAGGAGUAUCAGGUAGCAGUGGCCAGCUGCAUCUUCCUGCUCCUCAGCAUCCUCCUCCUGAGUGGGUUCACCUGGCAACAUAGAUGGAGGAAGAGCAGAAGAACCAUCUAGCAAGCUAGAACAGUUGGAGCCCAAGGGAAGAUGAUGGGACUCAUGAAGCUCAAGAAACACCUGAGGGGUCAAACGUGCACUCGACGGGUGCCUGUCUCCUUUUGAUCCCUCGGGUCCUGGAAAGUUAUGAAGUCCCGAGACACAAUGGCACAUCGGGAAAUAGCAACUUCAUCACUAAACCGAACUUUCCAUUGAAGAAUAGGAUCUGACCAUUUCAGUGCAGCAGUUCUAAAGCUUUAACGGGAGGGAGGGCCCAACGGUGCCCUGUGUGUUUUGUUUUGUGUACAUGUGUUGAUGGGAGCUGCGAUGGUGUGGUCACUUUUCGUGGAACACACAAUAUAGAAAAGUUGCUUUAUGUUGACUUCUUUUGGAGAGCCCAGCACUAAUGUAAAUACUCCCUCCUCGUCUUCCUCCUCUUCCUCUUUCUCUUCCUCCUUCCUCCUCCCCUGGGUCCACCCACCUCCACCCAUCCACUUUUCUUCUUCCUUUCUGCUCUCACAAGGUCAUCCUAGGCACAUGUAUGGCUGGCUCCUUUCUCAACCUCUGUUUGCCUAACUGGUUCUUGUGAUUUCAUCACUUACUGAUCAGUUUUUUAAAACUCUGGGCUGACAAUGAGGACUCCAUGUUUUUAGAAGGAAACCCCCUUUCCACUGAAGCUU
rnacentral:lncRNA from 1 species